GGAAAAUACAGGUCGGAAGGUUCUUAGGUCGGUAGGUCCUCAGGACGGAAGGUUCUCAGGUCGGUAGGUCCUCAGGACGGAAGGACCUCAGGUCGGUAGGUCCUCAGGACGGAAAGACCUCAGGUCGGAAGGUCUUCAGGUCGGGAGGCCCUCAAGAUGGAAAGACCUCAAGUCGGAAGGUCUUCAGGUCGGGAGGUCCGCAAGACGGAAAGACCUCAAGUCGGAAGGUCUUCAGGUCGGGAGGUCCGCAAGACGGAAAGACCUCAAGUCGGAAGGUCUUCAGGUCGGGAGGUCCGCAAGACGGAAAGACGAUGAGUCGGAAGGUUUUCAAGUCGGGAGGUCCUCGAGACGGAAAGUCGUCGAGAUGGGAUAUCCGCAGGUCGGGUAAAUUGUAGGUCGGAUAGAAGGCGGAGUCGGACAAACGCGGAAGCCUUUGAUCAAAG